GAAGCGGCAAAAGCUCAAAUUUGAAAUCUGGCUCUUUCAGAGUCCGAGUUGUAAUUUGUAGAGGAUGCUUCGGCUUACGUUUCGGUCUAAGUUCCUUGGAACAGGACGUCACAGAGGGUGAGAAUCCCGUUUGUGGCCGAGACUUCCGCCAUGUGAAGCUCCUUCGACGAGUCGAGUUGUUUGGGAAUGCAGCUCUAAAUGGGAGGUAAAUUUCUUCUAAAGCUAAAUACCGGCCAGAGACCGAUAGCGCACAAGUAGAGUGAUCGAAAGAUGAAAAGCACUUUGGAAAGAGAGUUAAAAAGUACGUGAAAUUGUUGAAAGGGAAGCGCUUGCGACCAGACUUGCCCGCGGAUGCUCAACCGGUCCUUCGGCCGGUGCACUCUUCCGCGGUCAGGCCAGCAUCAGUUCGAGCGGUUGGAUAAAGGCCUUGGGAAUGUGGCUCUCUUCGGGGAGUGUUAUAGCCCUUGGUGUAAUACAGCCUGCUUGGACUGAGGCCCGCGCUUCGGCUAGGAUGCUGGCGUAAUGGUCGUAAGCGGCCCGUCUUGAAACACGGACCAAGGAGUCUAACAUCUAUGCGAGUGUUUGGGUGUCAAACCCGUACGCGAAAUGAAAGUAAACGGAGGUGGGAAUCUUCGGAUGCACCAUCGACCGAUCCUGAUGUCUUCGGAUGGAUUUGAGUAAGAGCAUAGCUGUUGGGACCCGAAAGAUGGUGAACUAUGCCUGAAUAGGGUGAAGCCAGAGGAAACUCUGGUGGAGGCUCGCAGCGGUUCUGACGUGCAAAUCGAUCGUCAAAUUUGGGUAUAGGGCGAAAGAC
rnacentral:rRNA from 1 species